CACUAAUACACUUCUAAUAUCCAAAUCCGUUAAAGGAUUUUUAGGCUGCAUUAAUUAGUCUGUUUCUCUCUUAUUCCGAGGUCACCGUAGCCACCAGAUCCAGUCUGUAUCCAAGUCAGAGGGUCACUGCAGUCACCCGGAUCCAGUACGUAUCCAGCCCAGAUGGUGGAUCAGCACCUAGAAAGGACCUCUACAGCCCUGAAAGACAGCGGAGACCAGGACUAGAGCCCCAGAGACAGAUCCCCUGUAAAGACCUUGUCUCAGACGACCACCGGGACAAGACCACAGGAAACAGAUGAUUCUUCUGCACAAUCUGACUUUGCUGCAGCCUGGAAUUGAACUGCUGGUUUCGUCUGGUCAGAGGAGAACUGGCCCCCCGACUGAGCCUGGUUUCUCCCAAGGUUUUUUCUCCAUUCUGUCACCGAUGGAGUUUUGG
ensembl:lncRNA